rnacentral:rRNA from 1 species
GACGAACGCUGGCGGCGUGCCUAAUACAUGCAAGUCGAACGCACUCUCGUUUAGAUUGAAGGAGCUUGCUCCUGAUUGAUAAACAUUUGAGUGAGUGGCGGACGGGUGAGUAACACGUGGGUAACCUGCCCUAAAGUGGGGGAUAACAUUUGGAAACAGAUGCUAAUACCGCAUAAAACCUAACACCGCAUGGUGUAGGGUUGAAAGAUGGUUUCGGCUAUCACUUUAGGAUGGACCCGCGGUGCAUUAGUUAGUUGGUGAGGUAAAGGCUCACCAAGACCGUGAUGCAUAGCCGACCUGAGAGGGUAAUCGGCCAACACUGGGGUCUGAGACACGGCCCAGACUCCUACGGGAGGCAGCAGUAGGGAAUCUUCCGACAAUGGACGAAAGUCUGAUGGAGCAACGCCGCG